rnacentral:rRNA from 1 species
UACGAAGGGGGCUAGCGUUGUUCGGAAUCACUGGGCGUAAAGGGCGCGUAGGCGGCCGAUCAAGUCGGGGGGUGAAAGCCUGGUGGCUCAACCACAGAAUUGCCUUCGAUACUGUUUGGCUUGAGACCGGAAGAGGUAAGUGGAACUGCGGAGUGUAGAGGUGAAAUUCGUAGAUAUUCGCAAGAACACCAGUGGCGAAGGCGGCUUACUGGUCCGGUUCUGACGCUGAGGCGCGAAGC